rnacentral:rRNA from 1 species
GACGGAAGGUGCGAGCGUUGCUCGGAAUCACUGGGCGUAAAGGGUGCGUAGGCGGCUUGGUGGGUCUGGUGUGAAAGCCCCGGGCUCAGCCCGGGAAGGGCGCUAGAAACUGCCGAGCUCGAGUGCCGGAGGGGAGAGUGGAAUUCCUGGUGUAGCGGUGAAAUGCGUAGAUAUCGGAAGGAACAUCAGUGGCGAAAGCGGCUUCCUGGUCCAGUACUGACGUUCAGGCACGAAAGCGUGGGGAGCAAACAGG